ACGCUCGACACCUACGGGAGGCAGCAGUCGGGAAUAUUGCGCAAUGGAGGAAACUCUGACGCAGUGACGCCGCGUAUAGGAAGAAGGUUUUCGGAUUGUAAACUAUUGUCGUUAGGGAAGAGAAAGGACAGUACCUAAGGAGGAAGCUCCGGCUAACUACGUGCCACAGCCGCGGUAAUCUGAGCGGGCUGGCAAGGC
rnacentral:rRNA from 1 species